rnacentral:rRNA from 1 species
UACGGAAGGGGCGAGCGUUGUUCGGAAUUAUUGGGCGUAAAGGGAGCGUAGGCGGUCUUGUAAGUGGAACCUAUCAGCAAUCGGCUUAACCGAUUGACGGGUCCCAAACUGCUAGGCUAGAGUCCGCUAGAGGGUGCUGGAAUUCCCGGUGUAGGAGUGAAAUCUAUAGAGAUCGGGAGGAACACCAAUGGCGCAGGCAGGCACCUGGGGCUGGACUGACGCUGAUGCUCGAAAGCCAGGGGAGCAAACGGG